rnacentral:lncRNA from 12 species
CUAUUAUUAAGUAUGUUUGGGAAAUACUAGUUUAAACAAACUUAUAGGACUGUUUCUGAUAGGAUUAUUCAUAGUCUUUAUAAGCCUAAUGGCUCUUUGAGAUAGAACUCUAGAAUGUAGAGCUUUUUAGACUCACUUGACCACAAAGGUUCCCUUUGUAAUGGAACACUUUGGCAGUAUAGUGUCACAAAGAACACAAUGAACACAAUGUAAAUACUACACAACCCCAGUGAACAGGAUAUAAGACCGAGCUUUUGUCCUGUGAGGGUGGCUCUAAUGUUUCUGAGGUUAACCUCCAAGUUCUUUUUCAGUUCUAAAAUUCUGCAUAUCUAAACAGGCUCCCCUCAUCACCCAGCCCAGAAAACUGGCCUUGACAGCAACUGUGGCAUCGCACUCCUCAGGCCGCUGUUCUCCUGGGGUGAAUGGGCUGCAAUCUCAUUUCUUUGUGCUUGGAUCACUUGAAUGAAAACAAGGGAGAGAACUAAAAUUCCAAAGCUGAACAGUACAGGAGAGACCCUGUCAAACUACUGGUCAUGAUUAUUUCUGGAAUUUCUGGGAUGGGAACUGGUUUCAUUUUUAAAAAGAGACAUGUCUAAUGAGUUAAUUAAAUUGAGCUCUCUCCACUCUUUUCUUGUGAUUGCCAGCUUAUGAAAUGCAAUUUGUUUUUGUAUGAUAUGUUCAUUAGAUAUAGGGGGACCUCAAAGGACUUCAAAUUUACUUUCUCUUUGAAAUGAUUCCCAAGGGAAGAAGCUUAUUUUAAUGCCA